AAGUACGUGUGAAAAGCUGGUGGUUUGUCGCGUGCAUGUGUUUUUAUAACAUAGAGGGCAAAGACAGGAUACAAUAACCAAUGCACUAAAGCCUCAGCAAUGAGGAAAUACAACAUUUGAUGAUAGCGGCAGCAUUAUUUCUGGUAAGCCUGUGUGGUGUGAAACCCCAGUCUUGUGAAGUAAAGCUCAGCACAGCUCAGGUGCUUUCUGUUCAAAGAUAAAAGGGAUGUAUUGUAGCUGGCAGAUAGGUGAGAAUGUUUGUACUGCACAUCUGAACGGGAAAGGACUAUUUAUGUCUCGAUAGUCUUGUCACACACACACACAAAAAAAAUUUGGUUUUCGUUGUAAAGGUGUGCGAUGUAACUUUUCUGCAGGGAGCUCUGACACCUGCUUUAUCCAUGGAGACUCGUCAAAAUGUCAAGAAUGAUCCACUGCAGGUGAUGCCACCAGGCCAAAUUACAGGAGCACUGCACGGAAUGGGCCUCCAGGAUCAUGGAAGACCCCUCCCAUGCCACCCACCACUUGUUUGUCCCUCUGUCCUCUGGAGAAAACUGGGGAGCAUCAAAGCCACAAAAUCAAAUCACUUCAACAUCUGGGCUGAAGUCAAGUUUCUUUGCUGAGGCAGCCUGUCAGACUUUUGAAUAGUGCACUCUGACUUCCUACUUAGGCUGCCAAUCUUGCUAUAUGUUUUAUUGGUUGGCUUUUUAUUUAAUAUUCAUUAUUUAUUAUUGUUCUUAUCUCUUUAAUCAGACCUUGAAGAACAACUUUAGUUCUGUCACAUGUUUCAUUCACAUUUUUGAAUGACAGAUAAAGAACCUUGAACUUUGAACCCUGUAAAUCUUAAAAUGAAUUCCCCAGUCAAA